rnacentral:rRNA from 1 species
GAUGCUAAUACCGGAUAACAACACUAGACGCAUGUCUAGAGUUUGAAAGAUGGUUCUGCUAUCACUCUUGGAUGGACCUGCGGUGCAUUAGCUAGUUGGUAAGGUAACGGCUUACCAAGGCAAUGAUGCAUAGCCGAGUUGAGAGACUGAUCGGCCACAUUGGGACUGAGACACGGCCCAAACUCCUACGGGAGGCAGCAGUAGGGAAUCUUCCACAAUGGACGAAAGUCUGAUGGAGCAACGCCGCGUGAGUGAAGAAGGGUUUCGGCUCGUAAAGCUCUGUUGGUAGUGAAGAAAGAUAGAGGUAGUAACUGGCCUUUAUUUGACGGUAAUUACUUAGAAAGUCACGGCUAACUACGUGCCAGCAGCCGCGGUAAUACGUAGGUGGCAAGCGUUGUCCGGAUUUAUUGGGCGUAAAGCGAGUGCAGGCGGUUCAAUAAGUCUGAUGUGAAAGCCUUCGGCUCAACCGGAGAAUUGCACCAGAAACUGUUGAACUUGAGUGCAGAAGAGGAGAGUGGAACUCCAUGUGUAGCGGUGGAAUGCGUAGAUAUAUGGAAGAACACCAGUGGCGAAGGCGGCUCUCUGGUCUGCAACUGACGCUGAGGCUCGAAAGCAUGGGUAGCGAACAGGAUUAGAUACCCUGGUAGUCCAUGCCGUAAACGA